GGAGAAUCCUAAGAUGGCUGCCGUGUGUGCACGGCGUACGCGUCGCGUGCAACAACAACGUGGGUGAGCUAACGGGUGCCCGAUGUGGAAGUGCAAGCCAUAACUCGGUGAUUUUUCUCGGGAGUGAAUUCCAUUCUUGUCGACGAGUUUCGUUGAAAACGUUUUCGUAAACCGGCAGAAACGUAGCUCAGCGCACGGCCACGCCCUUGGCACGGGCAGCCAUCUUGCGUGUCAGCUGAGCGCGAUGCACCACGGUAGUCAGUGUUGCAACCUUAGCAACCAUCACGCGACUUACGCUGCGUGUACGCCUUACCAACAUUGGCUGACGCUACUGUUCAGAUACUCGAGGUAGAUACCCUUUGUUCGUGCAUGACUCUUAGACGAUAUUUUACAAAAUGCAGAGGCAGAUUCGCGUAGGCGCCGUUAGAUGAUAAACAGGAUCAACGUCUGCAGGACGAUGGG